UAAAAGUCUUUGUUGUAUUUAACAUAUAGAAUUUUCGUUUCUAAGAAUUGAGAUUUAUUUUUAU